CGGGGCUUAAAGUCUUGUAAUUGGAAUGAUGGGAAUUUAAACCUCUUCCAGAGUAUCAAUUGGAGGGCAAGUCUGGUGCCAGCAGCCGCGGUAAUUCCAGCUCCAAUAGCGUAUAUUAAAAUUGUUGCAGUUAAAAAGCUCGUAGUUGAAUUUCUGCUGCAUCGCUGUGUCCCUUCGGGGUCUCUGCAUGUGGCUUAUUUCGGACGGAGUUCGCUUUGUCUGGAUGUUUACUUUGAGAAAAUUAGAGUGCUCAAAGCAGGCUUUUGCCUUGAAUAGUUUAGCAUGGAAUAAUAAAGUAGGACUUUGGUUCUAUUUUGUUGGUUUUAGGUACCAAAGUAAUGGUUAAUAGGAACAGUUGGGGGCAUUCGUAUUUAACUGUCAGAGGUGAAAUUCUUAGAUUUGUUAAAGACGAACUACUGCGAAAGCAUUUGCCAAGGAUGUUUUCAUUAAUCAAGAAC
rnacentral:rRNA from 2 species